rnacentral:rRNA from 1 species
GGUUCGAUUAUGGCUCAGAUUGAACGCUGGCAGGAUGCUUUUUACAUGCAAGUCGAACGGCAGCACGGACUUCGGUCUGGUGGCGAGUGGUGAACGGGUGAGUAAUGUACUGGAACGUGCCUAGCAAGUGGGGAUAACUACGCGAAAAGCGUAGCUAAUACCGCAUACGCCCUUCGGGGGAAAGCGGGGGACCUUCGGGCCUCGCACUAUUAGAGCGGCUGAUAUCGGAUUAGCUAGUUGGUGGGGUAACGGCUCACUAAGGCGACGAUCCGUAGCUGGUUUGAGAGGACGACCAGCCACACUGGGACUGAGACACGGCCCAGACUCCUACGGAGGCAGUAGUGGGGAAUUUUGGACAAUGGGGGGAAACCGAUCCAGCCAUUCCGCGUGUGCGAUGAAGGCCUUCGGGUUGUAAAGCACUUUUGGCAGGAAAGAAACGGCACGGGAUAAUACCCGUGCAACUGACGGUACCUGCAGAAUAAGCACCACACCAUGCCAGCAGCCGCGGUAAUACGUAGGGUGCAAGCGUUAAUCGGAAUUACUGGGCGUAAGCGUGCAGGCGGUUCGGAAAGAAAGAUGCGAAAUCCCAGAGCUUAACUUUGGAACUGCAUUUUUAACUACCGAGUUAGAGUGUGUCAGAGGGAGGUGGAAUUCCGUGUGAAAGAGCAAGAAAUGCGUAGGAUAUGCGGAGGAACACCGAUGGCGAAGGCAGCCUCCUCCGCACACUGACGCUCAUGCACGAAAGCGUGGGGAGCAAACAGGAUUAGAUACUCCUGGUAGUCCACGCCCUAAACGAUGUCAACUAGCUGUUGGGGCCUUCGGGCUCAGCGCAGCGCUAACGCGUGAAGUUGACCGCCUGGGGAGUACGUAAUGGUCGCAAGAUUAAAACUCAAAGGAAUUGACGGGGACCUGCACAAGCGGUGGAUGAUGUGGAUUAAUUCCGGGAUGCAACGCGAAAACCUACCAUACCUGAUAUGUCUGGAAUCCCGGAAGAGAUUUGGGUGGGAGUGCUCGCAAGAGAACCGGAAACACAGGUGCUGCAUGGCUGUCGUCAGCUCGUGUCGUGAGAUGUUGGGUUAAGUCCUGGCAACGAGCGCAACCCUUGUCAUUAGUUGCUACGAAAGGGCACUCUAAUGAGACUGCCGGUGACAAACCGGAGGAAGGUGGGGAUGACGUCAAGUCCUCAUGGCCCCUUAUGGGUAGGGCUUCACAUCGUCAUACAACAUGGUCGGGACAGAGGGUCGCCAACUCCGCGAGGGGAGCCAAUCCUAGAAACCCGAUCGUAGUCCGGAUCGCAGUCUGCAACUCCUGGACUGCGGAAGUCGGAAUCGCUAGUAAUCGCGGAUCAGCAUGUCGCGGUGAAUACGUUCCGGGUCUUGUACACACCGCCUGUCAUGCUCAUGGGAGUGGGUUUUACCAGAAGUAGUUAGCCUAACCGUAAGGAGGAGGCGAUUACCACGGGUAGGAUUCAUGACUGGGGUGAAGUCGUAACAAGGUAA